ensembl:ncRNA lncRNA:SMRG Scutellar Macrochaetes Regulatory Gene
CAUGCGACACACUCAGACACACACACACAUACACACACACACACACACACAUAUUUUGACCAUUGAUAAUUUUAUGUUUUUUAUAUGGUAUAUGCGACAGAUCAUUUUGUUUAUUAUAUAUUAUUUUUAUUUAAUUUAUUUUACAACUUCUUCUUGAUUUCUUCUAUUUUUGGGUGCAGUUAUAUAAUUUUAGUGUUAUGAGAGAGCCUUUAUUUAUAUAAAACUUAUAUAAAACCAUAUUAUAAUUAUGCUUACGUCGAUGAUAAUGAAGUAAAUGCAUAUGUAAUAAAAAAACGGAAAAAGGAAAGGAAAAACCUUAACAAAAAAAAGCUUAUUUAAAAUAUUUAUGUAGGGAAAACCAUACGAAUGUCGAUCUUUGUAUGCGUCGGUAAAAUUGAAAGAAAAAGCGAUUUAUAAAAGGCCGGAAAGCGAAAAAAAAACAAAAAGCAAUCUGAGUACAGUGUUAGAAAUUUAAAUACUAAACUAAACUGAGCAAACAAAAUAGAAACUUAAUACAAAUAUUUAAAUUAUUUUGUACACAUUUUCUGACCUAUUGAAAUUUAUAUGUAUAAAUAUGUAAACUGUAAUCCGUAUACAGCGACCUUUUUUUUUUUUGUGCAAAUAAUUUAUAUUGAAACAAUUGCUGAAAUGCAAUUCAAAUCAAACUAAAUCAAAUAUAUAAUUACUCCUAUUUAUUAUUAUCUCUUUCACUAGGCGUAUUUAAGUUACAUUACGACCAACAGCAGCAAAAAUUUUAAGCAUGACUUAAAGCACAAAAAAAAUACAAAAAACAAACAAACAAACGGCCGGUGAAAGAGCAAAUUCCAAGUGUGUUUAUCAAUUUGUGUGCACCACAAACGAGGGGGGUAAAUAAUUCUCAAAGUGCCUUAUCGUUAAUAUUAUGUAUAAAUUAAAUACACACAAACACAAAUUAUGUAUAGUCUUGUGGAAAUGGAAAAGGAAACGCAGAGACGGAGUGCAAAAGGCAUAUUAAUUAUUUAUUAUUAUAUUAAAGUCUAUUUUAUUAUACUUUCGGCUUACUUUGAUUUUUACUUCCCAUCGCAAAAAAACCCAUUGUUUUCGUACUCCAAUACGUAUUGCAAUCGAAAUUGAACCGAUUGGAAUGUUAUGGCAGCGUGCAAAAGUUUACUGUAAUACCUAUAUUUAACAUACUUAUAUAUAAUAUUUUGUUUUUUUGCUCUAAUUAAUUUUUUAAAAAGCCUAACUUAGACCUGAGCUUUGGUUAUCAUCAUGAUGAUUAUUCUUAUAUUUUUUUUUUUAACGCGUUCUUCCCUUUGUACAACAAACAAAGAAAAGCAAAACACAACUAAAUUAAAUCCGUGCCCCACACAUGAAGCAAACGUGGCCUUAUCGGAAUGAAACCCUACUCUUAACUCUUAUCCAAGUCGUCUUCCUUCUAAGAAAAUCAUUAAGUAAACUAAACUGAAAUGUGGUUGGUACUCUUGAACGAUCGAUAAACAGAGGAAAACAAGAAAUGUAAUGCCAGUUGAAUUAUACACUAUUUAUAUAUAUAUAUUUUGUUCGUUAUUUAUAUAACCAUAUACCAUAAUAUUUUUCAUUGAUAUCCGCCUUGGCAACAACAAAUGCAAAAUCAAAAGGAAACAUAUACAAAACAAAACAAAAAAAAAAAUAAAUUAAAAAAACAACGAAAAAGACAAAACAACUAAUAAAUGAACACAAUCUGUACAUGAAUUUUGUUAAUGCUGAAACAUGCCUAUUUAUGCUUCCAUUGCAACACUUUUGUGCGUAUUUUUAUAUAGUAAAUUAAAAUGAAUACAAUUUAGUUUAUGGAAAAUUUUAAGUUAAAUAGCUUUAAAACAACAAGCGUUACAAAAUAAAUGAAAAAUAAAAAC